GGCGACGCGGCCAUAGUUAAGACCCACCUGUGAAGCAGAGGUGGCGGCAGCGGGGGCGGCGAGCCCAGCGACGGCAAGGAAGAGGGCAAGCAGAGAGGGGGCAGCCAAUGCCAUUGCCAGUAGCAGAACUCACAGGGCAAGGAAUUUGUAACGUCGAUCGAUGGAACUGGAAAGAGGAGAACAUGCUUUGUGCAUUUGUUCUGGGUGGGAGAACAGGCAGACUUGGAAGCUUCAGACUUUAUCUAUGGCAAUGGGACAAGAGUGGAGGACACCAUUCAUUCAAUUCAUGCAUCAAUAUGCCCAAAAGAUUAUUUGAGAAUGCUGAGAUCAUUAGUUCACAUCCAAGGUUUGAGAGGGAUUUGUAAUAAUUUUCAUAUUUUUUUUUCUAAGAUGGUAUGCAUUGAUUAAAUGCAUUGCAUUGUAUGAAAAGAGAUU